rnacentral:piRNA from 1 species
UAGUAGAUAGAAGCACUAGGCCUCAG